GGAAGUAAAAGUAGUAACAAGGUUUCCGUAGGUGAACCUGCGGAAGGAUCAUUAAAGUUAUAGUCCCCCGGCCCUCUGGGCUGGGGUCUUCUAUACCACCCUUUGUUUAUUACACCUUUGUUGCUUUGGCAGGCCUGCCCUCGGGCUGCUGGCUCCGGCCGGCUCGCGUCUGCCAGAGGACCUAAACUCUGUUUGUAUAUGAAGUCUGAGUACUAUAUAAUAGUUAAAACUUUCAACAACGGAUCUCUUGGUUCUG
rnacentral:misc_RNA from 1 species